rnacentral:sRNA from 1 species
AAAAAAGAGAGUAAGAGUUUAGAGUUAUAAGGGGGAUACAAAAGUGUUAAGUCUAGUAAAGGGUUUGGAAUUCAAAGAAGUUAGGCAUUGUGAUUCAAAU